rnacentral:pre_miRNA from 1 species
AGUGGAAUAGCUGGGUCAAAUGGAGGUUCCAUUCCAAGUUUUGUGAGUUAUCUCCAUACCACUUUCCAUAAUGGUUGCACCAAUCUGUAGUCCCACCAGCAAU